CAUGUAUGUAUGUAUGUAUGUUAAAAUGGGCCAUUUUCUGCAACUCGACGUCUUUGUGUGCCUAUUUUGCGUGUGUUUCUCUAUAUUUUUUUUUAAUUCUAUUU